GACGAACGCUGGCGGUGUGCUUAACACAUGCAAGUCGAACGGUGAAGGGACCGGUUUUUGCUGGUUCUGGAUGAGUGGCGAACGGGUGAGUAACACGUGAGUAACCUGCCCCCUUCUUCUGGAUAACCGCAUGAAAGUGUGGCUAAUACGGGAUAUUCUGCGCCUGCUGCAUGGUGGGUGUGGGAAAGAUAUUGUUUCGGUGGGGGAUGGGCUCGCGGCCUAUCAGCUUGUUGGUGGGGUGAUGGCCUACCAAGGCGGUGACGGGUAGCCGGCCUGAGAGGGUGGACGGUCACACUGGGACUGAGACACGGCCCAGACUCCUACGGGAGGCAGCAGUGGGGAAUAUUGCACAAUGGGCGCAAGCCUGAUGCAGCGACGCCGCGUGAGGGAUGGAGGCCUUCGGGUUGUAAACCUCUUUCGCCAGUGAAGCAGGCCUGUCCCUUUUGUGGGUGGGUUGACGGUAGCUGGAUAAGAAGCGCCGGCUAACUACGUG
rnacentral:rRNA from 1 species